rnacentral:lncRNA from 1 species
AUUUAUACAAAAUAAAUUGAUAAAGCAGUUACAACAUAAAAGGUAAGAACCUAACUACACAAAACAGUAAAAUAACAACAAAUAAUAGACUAACUAAUAGUGUAUAAUAAAUGAAUAUGUAAUUUGUUUUUCAAAAGCAUAGCUCUUAUAUAGUAGUUUUUUUCAAAGAGGAGAGACGUUGAAGACAAUUAUGUUGUUGUAGAUUAUCUGGUGUCAAAUGUGGAUCACCAUUUGAUUGUUGUUGAGCAGCUAUGACCGACUACGGAGAGAAACCGACAUCUACGUACUUCUGUUCGGUGUUAUGCGAAGGCAAAUACUUCAAAUUUGCAACAUAAU